rnacentral:ribozyme from 1 species
AAAAAAAAAAAAAAAAAAAAAAAAAAAAAAAAAAAAAAAGGAAACAGGAAAAUAUGAUUCUAGGCUCUUAUCAUUUGAAAAAUUGAAAGGAGACCUAGGAUGAUUGUUUCCUGAUUCUGAUUUGGAUUUCGUUUUGCAUUCCGAUGACCAUUUGAGUAUCAUCUCUCGAGAACGGGCUGUAAGGGCCCGGAAAUUCCUGUAACAUUGAAAAAAACAGACAAUUUUACUUACACUUC